UCCAAAAAUUUUACUAUUCAAAUUAUUAUUUAUUUAUUAUUAUUUUUUAUUUAUUAUUUUAAUAUUAUUUUAUUAAUAUUUUAAUCACCUCUUGCAAAACCACUUGCAGCCCUUAUCCUUCCUUAAUCAUGCAACUCAGAUAUUCUUAUCCUCUCAUUAUUUUUAUUUUUUUUUUCGUUUUUACUAUUCACUUUUUUCUAUUCAUUUUUUUUAACAAAACCUUCCAAAAUAAGUUCUCAAAAUUUUAAACCCCUCCUUUUGAAAUUAUUAAAAUUUUCUAUCAUAAAUUUAAAUUUCUAUAACCUUAAUUAUAUUUUCUAUUCAU
rnacentral:lncRNA from 1 species